rnacentral:rRNA from 1 species
GACGAACGCUGGCGGCGUUCUUAACACAUGCAAGUCGAACGAAGUGGCGUACGGUUGAGUAACGCGUAAUCAACUUGCCCUUCAGAGGGGGACAACAGUUGGAAACGACUGCUAAUACCGCAUACUGAAGGAGGGGAUUGCGUCUGAUUAGGUAGCUGGAUGGGCAACGGCCAACCAAGGCGAUGAUCAGUAGCCGGGCUGGUGGAAUGAACGGCAACAAUGGGAAUGAGACACGGCCCAGACUCCUAAGGGAGGCAGCAGUGGGGAAGCUUCCGCAAUGGAGGAAAGUCUGACGGAGCAACGCCGCGGGAGUGAUGACGGCCUUCGGGUUGUAAAGCUCUGUUAAGCGGGACGCGGUAACGGAAGAGAAAGCCACGGCUAACGACGUGCCAGCAGCCGCGGUAAUAC